rnacentral:rRNA from 1 species
AGCGAACGCUGGCGGCAUGCCUAACACAUGCAAGUCGAACGGGAGGGCCUCGGCCUCUCACUCGCGGACGGGUGAGGAGUGGGUAGGGUCCCGUCGAGGGGUGGGGGAUAACCGCGGGGAAUUGUAACGAAUAACGCAUGACGCCGCCGCAUGAUAGAACGCGCUAGGGGGGGCAGGCGUGCGAUUAGGUGGUUGCGAGGGUAUAAGCCGACCAAGGGGUCGAUGCCUAGCUGGGCUGAGAGGGUGAUCAGCCACACCAGGAUUGAGACACGGCCCGGACUCCUACGGGAGGCAGCAGUGGGGAAUAUUGGACAAUGGGCGAAAGCCUGAUGCAGCAAUGCCGCGUGAGUGAUGAAGGUCUUCGGGUUGUAAAGCCCUUUUAGCCGGGACGAUGGUGACGGUACCGGCAGAAUAAGCCCCGGCUAACUUCGUG